CAGAGGCCCCAAGCGUUACUGAGAAUCACUGGGUUUAAAGGGUGCGUAGGUGGCGCGUUAAGUCCGUUGUGAAAUCCCUGGGCUCAACCCAGGAAUUGCUUCGGAUACUGGCGUGCUUGAGGCUAGUAGGGGUCACUGGAACUGACGGUGGAGCGGUGAAAUGCGUAGAUAUCGUCAGGAACGCCAAUGGUGAAGACAGGUGACUGGGCUAGUUCUGACACUGAGGCACGAAAGCGUGGGGAGCGAACGGGAUUAGAUACCCCGGUAGUCCACGCCCUAAACGAUGCAGACUAGACUGCAGCGGGUUACACCCCGUUGCGGUCGGAGCGAAAUUGUUAAGUCUGCCACCUGGGAAGUACGGUCGCAAGGCUA
rnacentral:rRNA from 1 species